CCUACGGGAGGCAGCAGUGGGGAAUAUUGCACAAUGGGGGAAACCCUGAUGCAGCGACGCCGCGUGAGUGAAGAAGUAAUUCGUUAUGUAAAGCUCUAUCAGCAGGGAAGAAAAUGACGGUACCUGAGUAAGAAGCCCCGGCUAACUACGUGCCAGCAGCCGCGGUAAUACGGAGGGGGCAAGCGUGAUCCGGAUUUACUGGGUGGAAAGGGAGCGUAGACGGCAGUGCAAGUCUGGAAUGAAAGGCGGGGGCUCAACCCCCGGACUGCUCUGGAAACUGUACGGCUGGAGUGCAGGAGAGGUAAGUGGAAUUCCUAGUGUAGCGGUGAAAUGCGUAGAUAUUAGGAGGAACACCAGUGGCGAAGGCGGCUUACUGGACUGUAACUGACGUUGAGGCUCGAAAGCGUGGGGAGCAAACAGGAUUAGAUACCCGAGUAGUC
rnacentral:rRNA from 1 species